GGGCCCUCGAAAUCCUCCGGCAGGGGGAUUCAGUUAGGAAAGUCGAGGUGAUGUGUGGUUGUCUAAUCGGACCCUCUCUGGGGACGGGCUACCAUCACGGUCUUGGCUUGACCUGACGCAUUUCCUCCUGCACAAGGACGCCGCAUCCGGUUGGGUAGCUGCGUGAGUCGGCCAUAAGGACAAGCAACGGAAGGUGGCCGGUGGUAUGGCUUCGGCUUUGCCGCCGGUUGUUAGACAGUUUGUCCGUGGCGCGACACCCGACUGAGGUUAAUCGUUCCCUUAUGGGAACUAGCCGUCCCCUUCAUAUCGGAGCGGAUGCUUCAGCAAGUGUUUCACGGUGUCGCUUCUUCACUCUUGUAGUGUGUGGCGCUCCGUGUUCCCUGGUGGCUGAAAGCUACCCGCGGGGGUUGCAUACGGCUAGCGGCGAGUGAGUCGGUCACCCACCCGACCCGUCUUGAAACACGGACCAAGGAGUCUAACAUGUGCGCGAGUCACGGGGUCUUGAAUAGGCCCAGAGGCGCAAUGAAAGUGAAAGUCGGUCUCGUAUCGACUGUGUUGGGAUCUCCCGUCCUUUGCGGCGGGAAAGCACCAACGAUCCGUCCUAUCCGAUUUAUCGGUUGGCCGGAAUCGGAGCGUACACGUUGGGACCCGAAAGAUGGUGAACUAUGCUUGGGCAGGACGAAGCCAGAGGAAACUCUGGUGGAGGUCCGCAGCGGUCUGACGUGCAAAUCGAUCCUC
rnacentral:rRNA from 1 species